CAGAGAAAAACGAACACCAAGCCUCAAGCGAUCUCGAGCGCCAGAGCCCCCACACCCGCCGCCGUGUCGUCGCCUUCGUCGAUCAAGAGCAACACCAACGUGGCUCCGCCGGAGUUGGAGCAACGCGCCAAGGUGUCGCCACCGCCGCCGUUCGCGUCGGACAGGUGGGCCGCGGGCGGCGCCUCGUCCUCCGACGAGGAGGAGGACACCAAGAAGACCAAGAACAAGAAGGCCGCGGCCAGCAAGGCGGUGCCGGCGAGGAAGAGCGGCAAGGCCAAGGGCAAGGACAGGUACCUCGUUGCGCCACCGGCAGAAGCUGGCCAGGGGUUCAUGCCCGCAGGCGGCGCCCCCGACCCGUUCGCCGACAACGACGCGCUCCCGCCCUCCUCGUUCGACCCGUUCGCCGACGCGCGCGCCGACGACGCUGCCGGGGGCGGCGCCGGGGUCGACGACGCCUACGUGCACCUCCGCGUGCAGCAGCGCAAUGGCAAGAAGACGCUGACCACGGUGCAGGGGCUCAGCGCCAGCUACAACUACGCCAAGGUGCUGCGGGACCUCAAGCGGGAGCUCUGCUGCAACGGCACCGUCGUCGAGGACAAGGAGCUCGGCAACGUCAUCCAGCUGCAGGGCGACCACCGCAAGCGCGUCGCCGGCUUCCUCGCCAAGGCCGGCCUCGCCAAGACCGAGUGCAUCAAGGUCCACGGCUUCUAA
rnacentral:rRNA from 1 species